UACGGGGGGGGCGAGCGUUGUUCGGAAUUACUGGGCGUAAAGGGUUCGUAGGUGGCCUGCUAAGUCAGACGUGAAAUCCCUCGGCUCAACCGGGGAACUGCGUCUGAAACUAGUGGGCUUGAGUGCAGGAGAGGAACGCGGAAUUCCAGGUGUAGCGGUGAAAUGCGUAGAUAUCUGGAGGAACACCGGUGGCGAAGGCGGCGUUCUGGACUGCAACUGACACUGAGGAACGAAAGCCAGGGGAGCAAAC
rnacentral:rRNA from 1 species